rnacentral:rRNA from 1 species
CACGUAGGGCGCAAGCGUUGUCCGGAAUUAUUGGGCGUAAAGAGCUCGUAGGCGGUUUGUCGCGUCUGCCGUGAAAGUCCGGGGCUCAACUCCGGAUCUGCGGUGGGUACGGGCAGACUAGAGUGAUGUAGGGGAGACUGGAAUUCCUGGUGUAGCGGUGAAAUGCGCAGAUAUCAGGAGGAACACCGAUGGCGAAGGCAGGUCUCUGGGCCAUAACUGACGCUGAGAAGCGAAAGCAUGGGGAGCGAACAGG